rnacentral:rRNA from 1 species
GUGGGGAAUCUUAGACAAUGGGGGAAACCCUGAUCUAGCCAUGCCGCGUGAGCGAUGAAGGCCUUAGGGUUGUAAAGCUCUUUCAGCUGGGAAGAUAAUGACGGUACCAGCAGAAGAAGCCCCGGCUAACUCCGUGCCAGCAGCCGCGGUAAUACGGAGGGGGCUAGCGUUGUUCGGAAUUACUGGGCGUAAAGCGCGCGUAGGCGGACCAGAAAGUUGGAGGUGAAAUCCCAGGGCUCAACCUUGGAACUGCCUUCAAAACUCCUGGUCUGGAGUUCGAGAGAGGUGAGUGGAAUGCCGAGUGUAGAGGUGAAAUUCGUAGAUAUUCGGAGGAACACCAGUGGCGAAGGCGGCUCACUGGCUCGAUACUGACGCUGAGGUGCGAAAGCGUGGGGAGCAAACAGGAUUAGAAACCCUGGUAGUCC